CAACAUGAGAGUUUGAUCCUGGCUCAGAACGAACGCUGGCGGCAGGCUUAACACAUGCAAGUCGA
rnacentral:rRNA from 1 species